rnacentral:rRNA from 1 species
CGGACGGGUGAGUAAUACUUAGGAAUCUGCCCAUUAUGGGGGACAACUAGAAGAAAUUCUAGCUAAUACCGCAUACGCCCUACGGGGGAAAGCGGGGGGAUCUUCGGACCUCGCGCUAAUGGAUGAGCCUAAGUCGGAUUAGCUUGUUGGUGAGGUAACGGCUCACCAAGGCGACGAUCCGUAGCUGGUCUGAGAGGACGAUCAGCCACACUGGGACUGAGACACGGCCCAG